rnacentral:rRNA from 1 species
UUUAUGGAGAGUUUGAUCCUGGCUCAGGAUGAACGCUGGCGGCGUGCCUAAUACAUGCAAGUCGAGCGAACGGACGAGAAGCUUGCUUCUCUGAUGUUAGCGGCGGACGGGUGAGUAACACGUGGAUAACCUACCUAUAAGACUGGGAUAACUUCGGGAAACCGGAGCUAAUACCGGAUAAUAUUUUGAACCGCAUGGUUCAAAAGUGAAAGACGGUCUUGCUGUCACUUAUAGAUGGAUCCGCGCUGCAUUAGCUAGUUGGUAAGGUAACGGCUUACCAAGGCAACGAUGCAUAGCCGACCUGAGAGGGUGAUCGGCCACACUGGAACUGAGACACGGUCCAGACUCCUACGGGAGGCAGCAGUAGGGAAUCUUCCGCAAUGGGCGAAAGCCUGACGGAGCAACGCCGCGUGAGUGAUGAAGGUCUUCGGAUCGUAAAACUCUGUUAUUAGGGAAGAACAUAUGUGUAAGUAACUGUGCACAUCUUGACGGUACCUAAUCAGAAAGCCACGGCUAACUACGUGCCAGCAGCCGCGGUAAUACGUAGGUGGCAAGCGUUAUCCGGAAUUAUUGGGCGUAAAGCGCGCGUAGGCGGUUUUUUAAGUCUGAUGUGAAAGCCCACGGCUCAACCGUGGAGGGUCAUUGGAAACUGGAAAACUUGAGUGCAGAAGAGGAAAGUGGAAUUCCAUGUGUAGCGGUGAAAUGCGCAGAGAUAUGGAGGAACACCAGUGGCGAAGGCGACUUUCUGGUCUGUAACUGACGCUGAUGUGCGAAAGCGUGGGGAUCAAACAGGAUUAGAUACCCUGGUAGUCCACGCCGUAAACGAUGAGUGCUAAGUGUUAGGGGGUUUCCGCCCCUUAGUGCUGCAGCUAACGCAUUAAGCACUCCGCCUGGGGAGUACGACCGCAAGGUUGAAACUCAAAGGAAUUGACGGGGACCCGCACAAGCGGUGGAGCAUGUGGUUUAAUUCGAAGCAACGCGAAGAACCUUACCAAAUCUUGACAUCCUUUGACAACUCUAGAGAUAGAGCCUUCCCCUUCGGGGGACAAAGUGACAGGUGGUGCAUGGUUGUCGUCAGCUCGUGUCGUGAGAUGUUGGGUUAAGUCCCGCAACGAGCGCAACCCUUAAGCUUAGUUGCCAUCAUUAAGUUGGGCACUCUAAGUUGACUGCCGGUGACAAACCGGAGGAAGGUGGGGAUGACGUCAAAUCAUCAUGCCCCUUAUGAUUUGGGCUACACACGUGCUACAAUGGACAAUACAAAGGGCAGCGAAACCGCGAGGUCAAGCAAAUCCCA